CGUGAUUGUGUCCAGUGAGGGAGAAAGCGCCGCUGCCGUCGACCCCCUCGCUACACCGUCGCCGUGUCCUUGGAGUACUGUCCCGGUGACUCGCCCUAUCGCGCCGCUGGUGUGUGACCACUUCAGAAAGGCGGGAACCAGCCGUUCACUCCUCAAUUGCUCGCCGGAGGAGGGUCAUCACCCUGGUCCCGCGCCUCGCCGUGGACAAAGGGUCCUGGCAUCACGACUAGCUG
rnacentral:lncRNA from 7 species